rnacentral:rRNA from 1 species
UUGGCCUACGGGAGGCAGCAGUGGGGAAUAUUGGGCAGUGGGCGCAAGCCUGACCCAGCAACGCCGCGUGAAGGAAGAAGGCUUUCGGGUUGUAAACUUCUUUUCUGGGGGACGAACAGAUGACGGUACCCCAGGAAUAAGCCACGGCUAACUACGUGCCAGCAGCCGCGGUAAUACGUAGGUGGCAAGCGUUAUCCGGAUUUAUUGGGUGUAAAGGGCGUGUAGGCGGGAAUGCAAGUCAGGUGUGAAAACUCAGGGCUCAACCCUGAGCCUGCAUUUGUAACUGUGUUUCUUGAGUGCUGGAG